CACGCUCCACGGUCUAUAGAACCUUAGCCUCGAGUUGUGAUGGGGGAGUAACAGAAGUACACAGAAAAGUAACUGCAGAUGACCAGAUGAAUAAUUUAUAAAACAGUCUCAACUAUUCCUCCCUGCAAAAGUAUGUAUAGGACUAGCGCCACCCCUGGGAAAGUCUCAAACGUACUUCGAGUUGUUCGAUAACUGAGUGUAGUACAACAACUCGCUUUAUUGAACACGUACUUACCUGAAAGUAGAUCCCUCUUCAGACACCCCAUACGAAAUAUGACCGGAGUACUACCGUGUUCUUCUUUAAGACGUCGUCGGAAACGACGGUACUUCUGGGCAGCGGGAUUUGUCCUUCAAUAAUUUCGAGAUGACCUGUUCAUGUUGCUCCUGUUACUAGAAAAUCCCCUAGAACGUAUAGCUGAUCUUCUUUAUCACUCUAUAUUUGGUACAAAACUGCCCUUUCUGACACUAAUAUCCAGUAUAAGUGUAAACUUAUACUGGUAUUUCUGAUUUCCUCGGCUACUAGGGGCGUUCUUCGACAUAAAACGACUUCAGUGAACAUACUCUCCGCUUGUACUUCUCAUACACGAGUGGACAUAGACGCGUCAACUUGGACUACGGUUACCACUUACGGAACACACACCUCUAGUUUACUUCGUGGGGUAACUACGAUUUAUGUUGGUACCAGCGAGGUGCGGUUAGAAAUCUACAACAAGGGUACGUCUACGUUUUCGGAACCCACUGCUCAAUUAAUGGCACGUACUACUCCGAACCGACCUUUUCCUCCUUCGAUCCCACUCUGCUCACAAGCUCCUUCACCGACUCCUAUAGUUCUUCCUCUUUCGUCGCUUUGACCGGCUCCGAUAGUUCCUCCUCUUUCGUCGCUUCGACCGAUUCCGAUAGUUCCCCCUCUUACGCAAUUUCCUUCACUUACUCCGAUGCCUCCACCCGUGGUAUCCCGUACCGGUACGUUUCUCGCGGUUCAUACAUCAUGGCCGAUCUGCUUUUACUCAACGAAGAGUUAAGUACCAAUGACAGCUACCACAGAGAAAGAGAGAGACGACGUGCAUGCCUACCAACACGUUACGCUUACGAGUUGUGUGGGGAAUCGUCUGUGCGAAGUCGUACGAAAACGAGUUCCGGGUUCUCUGGACGUCUCUACUGGUGUAUACUCUUAGGAACCGACUUUAGCGGCUUUACAGACCGACUUUGAUCAAUACAUGCAUGAUGUUCUUGACUUUAAGAAGACGAUAGCUUGGUGUCA
rnacentral:rRNA from 1 species